GUCCACGCCGUAAACGAUGAUCACUCGUGAUUGGCGAUACACUGCCAGUCACCUAGCGAAAGCGUUAAGUGAUCCACCUGGGGAGUACGAUCGCAAGAUUGAAACUCAAAGGAAUUGACGGGGGCCCGCACAAGCGGUGGAGCAUGUGGUUUAAUUCGAUGAUACGCGAGGAACCUUACCAGGGCUCGAACGUACGUUGACAGGGGCGGAAACGUCCUCUUCUUCGGACAACGUGCGAGGUGCUGCAUGGCUGUCGU
rnacentral:rRNA from 1 species